UGACUCUGGUUUCUCUUCAUAACGCACAAGUCUUUCGCCUUUUACUAAAGACUUCCGUGGAGAGGAACGCCAACGGAGUUUAAGCUAUUUUUUUGGUAGGUUUUGGCCGUAAGGCUG